rnacentral:tRNA from 1 species
GGAUUUAGGUUAAGCCAAACUUUUAGCCUUCAAAGCUGAUAAUAGGGACAAUUCCCCUAAGCCUUA